rnacentral:rRNA from 1 species
UACGUAGGGUGCGAGCGUUUGUCCGGAAUUACUGGGCGUAAAGAGCUCGUAGGUGGUUUGUCGCGUUGUUCGUGAAAACUCACAGCUCAACUGUGGGCGUGCGGGCGAUACGGGCAGACGUAGAGUACUGCAGGGGAGACUGGAAUUCCUGGUGUAGCGGUGGAAUGCGCAGAGUAUCAGGAGGAACACCGGUGGCGAAGGCGGGUCUCUGGGCAGUAACUGACGCUGAGGAGCGAAAGCGUGGGGAGCGAACAGG